CCUACGGGCGGCAGCAGUGAGGAAUAUUGGUCAAUGGGCGUAAGCCUGAACCAGCCAAGUCGCGUGAGGGAUGAAGGUUCUAUGGAUCGUAAACCUCUUUUAUAAGGGAAUAAAGUGCGGGACGUGUCCCGUUUUGUAUGUACCUUAUGAAUAAGGAUCGGCUAACUCCGUGCCAGCAGCCGCGGUAAUACGGAGGAUCCGAGCGUUAUCCGGAUUUAUUGGGUUUAAAGGGUGCGUAGGCGGCCUUUUAAGUCAGCGGUGAAAGUCUGUGGCUCAACCAUAGAAUUGCCGUUGAAACUGGGAGGCUUGAGUAUGUUUGAGGCAGGCGGAAUGCGUGGUGUAGCGGUGAAAUGCUUAGAUAUCACGCAGAACCCCGAUUGCGAAGGCAGCCUGCUAAGCCAUGACUGACGCUGAUGCACGAAAGCGUGGGGAUCAAACAGGAUUAGAUACCCCGGUAGUC
rnacentral:rRNA from 1 species